GGAAGCCCAAAGCCUUAAGGAAAGCAUGUUUAAAAGCAAGCUUUGACCCAAAAGGCUGCCAUGGAAAUACUGUGACUCCUGGACCCUGUACCCACCUUGCCUGGGCUCAGGGAUAAAUUUCAUCAAGCAUCA
ensembl:snoRNA